GUGCUGUCUUCGGCAGCACAUACGCUAAAAUUGGAGCAAUAUGGAGAAGAUUAGCAUGGCCACUGUGCAAGGCCGACACACAAAUUCGUGAAGCGUUCCAUAUUUUA